rnacentral:piRNA from 1 species
UGUCAGUGUGUGAUCUGUGACCAACCUAUC